ACUCGGGACGGUCCGGUGGCGGAGGCCACGGCGGUUGUGGACCCGAGGCUGGGUGAUCGCUCCGCGUCCAUCCGCACCGUCCGCCCGCACCGUCCGCCCGCACCGUCCGCCCGCACCGUCCGCCGUGUCCCGCCGCGUCCCGCCGCGAGGGUCCGCCCGUCCCCUCUGCUGGAAGCCGCAGACCGCGAGGGCCCACUGUCCCACAGAAAGGACAGAACGGGGGCCCGCGACAGGACGCUGUGGGAACCGGGAAGCCAGAUAUCCCCGUUGUCUUUAGAAACUUCAGGGCAGAGAGAAGAAAUAGGACCGAGGCCCUGGGGGAAGAACCAGACCUAGGAGUGACAUCAGAGGAGGAACAGAAAAGGCUUGAUGGCAGUGAACAUAACCAGCUCAGGAAAUGUUGACCGCAUGGAGGAAUUCUCCACAGCUGGCCUGGACCCAGGCCCGGGUCUUCCCUCUGUCCAGCUUUCUCCUUCUCCCUGCCUGGCCGGACCCAUCCCCACCGUGUUCCCUUCAUACUCGCCUCAGACAGAAGUAGAAAAGAGCAAGGCCCAGGGCUGCAGAGAGGAGUGUGGUGGGUCCGGGAGCAUUCCCUGCCUUCUGCCUGCACCUGCGAGCCUGAGCCUGCUCCAGGGAGGCCGCCGCUCUGCUGCCCUGGGAAGGCCCUGGAGGAAACCCAAGUCACCACAGUGGGAAGAGCUCCAGGAACCCUGGGAGGCUGCACGUCCUGAACCAGGAGAGAGCUCGGAAAGCAGAGCCUGACCUGAGCCCAGAAAGGAACCUAGCAACGCGGGGCAGGAGUGAGUAGACAGAAGUUCAUCGUUUAACGACCAACCUGUUUGACUUAUGGCCCAGGAGCACUGUUCAGAGUUAUGACCCACCUCGGGGACUCAGGACCCAAGUUCAGACCCACAUUGCAGGACCAUGAGUGGCAGUGUGGACUUAGGGGGGCUUCUUCUACAGUACAGUACUGUGAGAUUUACCAAUUGUACUGUACAGUGCAGUACUGUAAUUUUAUGUUCUGUAAUACAUUACAGUACUACAUAAGAGUCAUGCAAAUAAAAGCAAAGUCAUCAAGUUGGAAUUUCCUGUGACCAUUUCUUUGUUCUAAGAAUAUUGUAAUGUACAUAGUACAUACAAUUCCUCAUUUAGCAACCAAUUUAUUUAAUGACUUAGUUGCAGGAACGGAACUUGGUCAUUAAGUGAAGAGUGUCUGUAUAUAUUUUUCUUACUUAAUAAAUCCUCCAAUGAUUAUAAUUCUCUGCCAAUCACAUUUAUCAUUUUCAUUACCAAAAGGAAUCUUUUUUUAAAAUUUUAUUUUAUUGGUACAUUUUAGGUAUAUAAUAUAAUGACAUUCAUGAUUGGAAAUUUGCACCUUUAUAUAGUCUCUCUUGGUUCUUAUUUUUCCCCCUUCCCCUGCCCUCCCUCAACCCCUCCACCCCUCCCUAUUUACAAAGACCUUGUUUCCAUUUUU
rnacentral:lncRNA from 1 species